CCUACGGGAGGCUGCAGUGAGGAAUAUUGGUCAAUGGGCGAGAGCCUGAACCAGCCAAGUCGCGUGAAGGAUGACGGCCCUACGGGUUGUAAACUUCUUUUGUCAGGGAGCAAUUGGGUCCACGCGUGGGCUUAGCGAGAGUACCUGAAGAAAAAGCAUCGGCUAACUCCGUGCCAACAGCCGCGGUAAUACGGAGGAUGCGAGCGUUAUCCGGAUUUAUUGGGUUUAAAGGGUGCGUAGGCGGAAUAUCAAGUCAGCGGUAAAAAUUCGGGGCUAAACCCCGUCGUGCAGUUGAAACUGAUGUUCUUGAGUGGGAGAGAGGCAGGCGGAAUUCGUGGUGUAGCGGUGAAAUGCAUAGAUAUCACGAAGAACUCCGAUUGCGAAGGCAGCAUACCGGCUCCAUACUGACGCUGAGGCACGAAAGCGUGGGGAUCGAACAGGAUUAGAUACCCGUGUAGUC
rnacentral:rRNA from 1 species